rnacentral:rRNA from 1 species
AUUGAACGCUGGCGGAAUGCUUUACACAUGCAAGUCGAGCGGCAGCGCGGGGGCAACCCUGGCGGCGAGCGGCGAACGGGUGAGUAACAUAUCGGAACGUACCCCGUCGUGGGGGAUAACACAGCGAAAGCUGUGCUAAUACCGCAUACGACCUGAGGGUGAAAGCGGGGGAUCGCAAGACCUCGCGCGAUGGGAGCGGCCGAUAUCGGAUUAGCUUGUUGGCGGGGUAAGGGCCCACCAAGGCGAUGAUCGGUAGCUGGUCUGAGAGGACGAUCAGCCACACUGGGACUGAGACACGGCCCAGACUCCUACGGGAGGCAGCAGUGGGGAAUAUUGGACAAUGGGCGCAAGCCUGAUCCAGCAAUGCUGCGUGGGUGAAGACGGCCUGCGGGUUGUAAAGCCCUUUAGGCGGGGAGGAACGGCGUCGUGCGAACAGUGCGGCGUUCUGACGUUACCCGCGGAAUAAGCACCGGCUAACUCCGUGCCAGCAGCCGCGGUAAU